CAUGCAGUCGAGCGGAAGGCCCUUCGGGGUACUCGAGCGGCGAACGGGUGAGUAACACGUGAGCAACCUGCCCCAGGCUUUGGGAUAACCCCGGGAAACCGGGGCUAAUACCGAAUAUGACCUCUGACCGCAUGGUUGGUGGUGGAAAGUUUUUCGGCUUGGGAUGGGCUCGCGGCCUAUCAGCUUGUUGGUGGGGUGAUGGCCUACCAAGGCGACGACGGGUAGCCGGCCUGAGAGGGCGACCGGCCACACUGGGACUGAGACACGGCCCAGACUCCUACGGGAGGCAGCAGUGGGGAAUAUUGCACAAUGGGCGGAAGCCUGAUGCAGCGACGCCGCGUGAGGGAUGACGGCCUUCGGGUUGUAAACCUCUUUCAGCAGGGACGAAGCGUAAGUGACGGUACCUGCAGAAGAAGCGCCGGCCAACUACGUGCCAGCAGCCGCGGUAAGACGUAGGGCGCGAGCGUUGUCCGGAUUUAUUGGGCGUAAAGAGCUCGUAGGCGGCUUGUCGCGUCGACCGUGAAAACUUGGGGCUCAACCCCAAGCCUGCGGUCGAUACGGGCAGGCUAGAGUUCGGUAGGGGAGACUGGAAUUCCUGGUG
rnacentral:rRNA from 1 species